AUUGAACGCUGGCGGCAGGCUUAACACAUGCAAGUCGAGCGGGGGAAGGUAGCUUGCUACCGGACCUGGCGGCGGACGGGUGAGUAAUGCUUAGGAAUCUGCCUAUUAGUGGGGGACAACAUCUCGAAAGGGAUGCUAAUACCGCAUACGUCCUACGGGAGAAAGCAGGGGAUCUUCGGACCUUGCGCUAAUAGAUGAGCCUAAGUCGGAUUAGCUAGUUGGUGGGGUAAAGGCCUACCAAGGCGACGAUCUGUAGCGGGUCUGAGAGGAUGAGCCGCCAAACUGGGACUGAGACACGGCCCAGACUCCUACGGGAGGCAGCAGUGGGGAAUAUUGGACAAUGGGGGGAACCCUGAUCCAGCCAUGCCGCGUGUGUGAAGAAGGCCUUAUGGUUGUAAAGCACUUUAAGCGAGGAGGAGGCUACUCUAGUUAAUACCUAGGGAUAGUGGACGUUACUCGCAGAAUAAGCACCGGCUAACUCUGUGCCAGCCGCCGCCGUAA
rnacentral:rRNA from 1 species